rnacentral:lncRNA from 1 species
CUCAACCUUUAUUGAAUCACUCACGAACAAUACAAGGAAAGCCCUUGGUGCACACAAAGAAUCCUCACAACAGAUGCUAACAAUUGCAAUCUGAGUCCCUCUAUCUGAAUGGGUCGGAUUUGUGCACUCUAGGGCCAAUAAAUACAAGUUACAAUGCAGUUUACACACUAAACUGCCAAGGGACACAUGGCGGCACGCAGGCCAGCCACUUGGCUC